GACGAACGCUGGCGGCGUGGAUUAGGCAUGCAAGUCGGACGGUAGGGCUUUAUCGUAAGAUAGAGUUUGAGAGUGGCGAACGGGUGAGUAACACGUAGGAAUCUACCCUUAAGACGGGGACAACCCAGGGAAACUUGGGCUAAUACCGGAUGAGAGUGCGAGAGAUUGCAUUUAAAAGGAUGGCGAAAGUUGUCGCUUAGGGAUGAGCCUGCGGUCUAUUAGUUAGUUGGUAAGGUAAAGGCUUACCAAGGCGACGACGGGUAGCCGGUCUGAGAGGAUGUACGGCCACACUGGGACUGAGAUACGGCCCAGACUCCUACGGGAGGCAGCAGUUGGGAAUCUUAGGCAAUGGACGAAAGUCUGACCUAGCGACGCCGCGUGAGGGAAGAAGGCCUUCGGGUUGUAAACCUCUGUCAUGGGGAAGAAGUAAGUGACGGUACCCAACGAGGAAGCCCCUGCUAACUACGUG
rnacentral:rRNA from 1 species